rnacentral:rRNA from 1 species
UACGUAGGGUGCAAGCGUUAAUCGGAAUUACUGGGCGUAAAGCGUGCGCAGGCGGUCCGUUAAGACAGAUGUGAAAUCCCCGGGCUUAACCUGGGAACUGACAUUUGUGACUGGCGGACUCGAGUAUGGCAGAGGGGGUAGAAUUCCACGUGUAGCAGUGAAAUGCGUAGAGAUGGUGGAGGAAUACCGAUGGCGAAGGCAGCCCCCUGGGCCAAUACUGACGC